rnacentral:misc_RNA from 1 species
CCUCCGUUGGUGAACCAGCGGAGGGAUCAUUACCGAGUUUACAACUCCCAAACCCAAUGUGAACGUUACCAAACUGUUGCCUCGGCGGGAUCUCUGCCCCGGGUGCGUCGCAGCCCCGGACCAAGGCGCCCGCCGGAGGACCAACCUAAAACUCUUAUUGUAUACCCCCUCGCGGGUUUUUUUAUAAUCUGAGCCUUCUCGGCGCCUCUCGUAGGCGUUUCGAAAAUGUAUCAAAACUUUCAACAACGGAUCUCUUGGUUCUG